GAUGAACGCUGGCGGCGUGCCUAAUACAUGCAAGUCGAGCGAACGGACGAGAAGCUUGCUUCUCUGAUGUUAGCGGCGGACGGGUGAGUAACACGUGGAUAACCUACCUAUAAGACUGGGAUAACUUCGGGAAACCGGAGCUAAUACCGGAUAAUAUUUUGAACCGCAUGGUUCAAAAGUGAAAGACGGUCUUGCUGUCACUUAUAGAUGGAUCCGCGCUGCAUUAGCUAGUUGGUAAGGUAACGGCUUACCAAGGCAACGAUGCAUAGCCGACCUGAGAGGGUGAUCGGCCACACUGGAGCUGAGACACGGUCCAGACUCCUACGGGAGGCAGCAGUAGGGAAUCUUCCGCAAUGGGCGAAAGCCUGACGGAGCAAAGCCGCGUGAGUGAUGAAGGUCUUCGGAUCGUAAAACUCUGUUAUUAGGGAAGAACAUAUGUGUAAGUAACUGUGCACAUCUUGACGGUACCUAAUCAGAAAGCCACGGCUAACUACGUG
rnacentral:rRNA from 1 species